CAAUAGCGUAUAUUAAAGUUGUUGCAGUUAAAAAGCUCGUAGUUGGAUUUCUGGCCGAGUGUCCCCAAGCAGACAGACGUCUUGUCUUGGGCGCUCUGCCAUCCUUCUGUUAACCUUCGCCUCGUUCGUUCGUGGCGCUGGGGCUCAGAUAUUUUACCUUGAGAAAAUUAGAGUGUUUCAGGCAGGCUUUCGCCGGAAUACAUUAGCAUGGAAUAAUGGAAUAGGACUGGAUUCUUUUAUUUGGUCACUGAAUCUAGUAAUGAUUAAUAGGAACAGUUGGGGUCAUUAAUAUUAAUGAGUCAGAGGUGAAAUUCUUCGAUUUCAUUAAGAUUAACUAAUGCGAAAGCAUUUGAC
rnacentral:rRNA from 1 species